AGUUCUUCAGACAGUCUUUACAGAAGCUGUGGCUACAUGACAGGACAACAGGUUCUUUAAAGAUGUCACGGCAGACAGGACAGGAGAGAUCCUCCUCUGAACGGUGAAUGAGGAAGCAUGACAAACUGUUACUGGCAGGUUUCAGCACAACAUGAACGUGACAUCAGACUCCAAAUUUCCACUGAACAGUGUUGGACUGUGUGAGUCCAGAUGAACUCUGAUUCUUUGGAGCUUCUUCACUGAGAGAAAAGUGAUGGGAUCUGGUGGAGAGUACGCUGUGUAUUUACCCUGAUUUAACCCUAUUCUCCACGAUUGAGCCAGUGCCGC